GGGCAAGAUAGGUGAAGUAGGCCCACCGACAAGUCGGCGGUUCCUAUUUCACUCCCCUUUAUUCGCACCGGAGGUGCUCAACGGGAAUCUUGCUCUUCGAGGCU
rfam:Vibrio sp. MEBiC08052 genomic scaffold scaffold00001, whole genome shotgun sequence.